UUUUUAUUUUUAUUUUUUUUUUAUUCUCUUCUUUUGGGAUGGUGCUUACGAGCUCAAAUAUGAGGAUGGAGAUAGGUGGCAGGGAUGAUGUUGACCCUGGCUUAAACAGGUAAUGUUGUAGAAAUGAUAAAAGAUAUGGGCCUCCGUCGCAGAUGCAUUAAGCAAUGAAAUAAUAUCUCCAUUUCCAUCUGCAUCCUUGACUAUCACUUGUAAUUUACAACAAUCACCACACCAUGGUAGCUUGGAAUUUCUAUCUGUAUUUUAGGGCAAGAAAAUGAAAUGAUUUGCCCAUUCAUUACUUCUAGCAACAAUGUGAAUCGCAGACAUAUAUGUGUUCAAAAAGAAAAAAAUGGAAAUUAUGAUGAGCAUCUGAAGCAUUCAUGACUGGAUUCGUUAAAUCUGUCAACUAAUGUUUUUUUCCCCUAUGAGAAAGCUUUUGGAGGAGCAAGGUAUUGAAUUGCAUCUAACCAAUCAACUCUACAAACAACUGUCGAGAAUCUUUAAAAAUGAAGCUAUGAAUAUGCUUCCAAUUUCAAUCAAUACACAAGGACAUACUAAGAACUACUCUUAAGAAGAUCUCCUAUCAACCCAUCUAAUGAGCAUUUGUCUUCCCUUGAUUUUAAUUGGAUAUUAUCCUCUUCGAUUUGAUAUUUCGUGUACCUGUUUGUCUAUAUUUUACUAAUCAUCCAUUACAUAUAAAAUUUUUUUUU
rnacentral:misc_RNA from 1 species